GUAGUCACUAUGACAACUAAUCCAUUCGGUCUCAAAUCGAAGUUGUUUCAAAUCUGUCGUCUUGUUUAUCAGAAGAGGAUGUAAAAUGGUCUUUAUUCGACGAUGAUGGACUAAAACGCAAUUUUCCCUGCAAGAUUCUGUCGUGUCUCUGCAUUCCAGUUUCCCAGUUUGAUCCUCUGCCCACAUAUAUUUGUGAAAAAUGCGCACGCAAAUUGGACGAAUUCUAUGACUUCAAGCAAGCCUCUAGAAAGUCUGAUGAAUACCUGAAAAGCAAUUUGCAUUCAUUUUCUCAGGAAAUUUGUAUGAGCAAUAGACUGAAAGGCAAAGUGAAGCAAGAUAAUGAUCAGCUAAUUGCCCAAGAUAUGUCGUUACAUAAAUCGGACAAUAAAUCAAGAUCACAGUUGAUCAGUGGUUCUUUCCAAUCAGAAAAUUUAAGGUGUAAUAUUUUAAAUCAGAACCAAAGUGUAAUCAAAACGAUAGAUAUUACAAUUUACUUACCAGUAUUAAUGGUAUAAGUGCCCCCUCAAAAUCCACAUCCUCUUUUACUGACACUGACGAGAAAAUUCAAUCAAGGAAUGUCAUGAACUCCCCAUCCCAACCCAGUUCAAACGGCCGCAAUCCCAACACAUUGCACAACCGUUCAGAGAAAGAACUUAUUGCCAGUGAUUCAAUUUAAAUCUAAACACGGAAGGUCGAGAAAACUCGCCCGAGGCGGAAGUGAAAAGGCAGCCAUGGGGUGUCUCUGGAAAUGCUGUGAUGUAUGCCAAUGGCUAUUUCAGUGAGGUCCCUGAUGAUGACUCAAACAACAAUAGUGGAGUUUUGAACCUGGAGAUGAAGUCUAAGAAGCAGCGCGUUGAAAGUGAAACGCGACCCACUCAGUUGAAACCAGAUAGUGUUGAAGACUCGGAAGAUGAUUCCAAGAGAGGGAGCUCUCGGCUUUCCAGGGAGGAUCCAUCGGACAACGAGAAUAAAAGUCAUGCUGACUUUGAGGAUGAUAACAAUGAAGACGCUGAUGUCAGUAGUGAUAUAACUGAAAGAAGUCCCACAAGUAUGCUGAGGAGAACAUUAUUACUAAAUCAUCAGGAUGAAUCUCGGUCACCUCUAACAAUAAUGAAUGGAGAAGUUGUGCUGGGUGCUAAAAGGACGAGUAGUGGCCGACGCAAGCAAAGCUGUCCUCUGAGGGCAAGCGAGAUUAGGUUCCGUUAUAAAUUCAACGCCGACAAUGAAAUUGAAGGCGAAAACGCAGAUGGGCGCAACAGUGAUAUUGGCAGUAUGUCCGACGCCGGCGCAAGUUCAGAUGCGGAUAACCACCGAUUUGACGAUAUGGGUGCUGCAAGAUCUCUUUAUAUUGAAAAUUCUCUGAUGGGCAAUGGUUCGGUUGAUUCAGCAGACUGCAUGGAUAUUCCUAUCGAAACGGUAUGGUUUUUUUUCUUAGUACUUAAAUUAAUUUUUAUCUACAGUGGAAGGAAAUUCUAUCUAAAGAAACAAAAGGUUUCUAGAAACUGUAAUAUCUUGAUGCAUUUUGCUGCUGUAAACAUUUGUUGAGAACAGUUAGGGGACAAUUUGUUGACAGGAGGUAGGACCUUGAUCAUUCUCUUAAGAGAGAGCAAAUAUGCAUAAAUUCAGAGCAACCCUUAAAGUUUCUAAGGAAGACCCAGACAUGAACUAGAUACUUAAGUUUUUACCUUCAUUUUCAUGGUGAUAUAGAUUCUAGAACCAACUCUUCUUUCAACAAGCGUCCAUCAACAUCAAUCUUCA
rnacentral:lncRNA from 1 species